UUGGCAGUUGGGUGCCGCCAUCUUAAGCAGUUGUACUAACAGGAAGAGCAGAGAAACAAGGCUGGUGCUGCUGCUGUGAUUCCUAGCCAGGAAGGCAGGACAGAUAUGCGGCUCCCUGGAGUAAGGUAGAGCCGAAGACGGAUGACAGGGGUGAGACCUCCCGGAGGUGACAGAGGUGGUCCUCCCUCCCAAAAAGGCGGGCACAACUACUAAGCAGUGAGGAAUCCUGACAGGAUCAUCAGGAGAGAGAUGUCCAAGUACAAGCGGACCCGAUCCCCCCCUUCCCCCCACCCCUCAGAAGAAUUUUCCCUGCACAGCAAUGAGGAGUGGGAGCCGACCCAGGAGGAGGAUACGACCGAACAGGCAUCCAGUGACCAGCCGCAGUCGUCAAGGGAAAAAGGCAGAAGCAAAAGAAAAGGCCUAGAAAGGCAAGAAGCCAGCCAGAGGAGCAGUCGGAGGAGGAAGCCUCUGGUGAAGACGCAGGACAGAAGAAGCAGAGUGGACCCAGAUACACUGAGGCGGAAUACUGUGCCCUAGUGGAUGGCGUCGACAGGUCCUACGACGUUCUGUAUGGACCAAGGGCACAGACCACAGCAGCUAAGACCAAACGAAACAUCUGGGAUGCCAUCGCGAGACAAGUCACUGCAGUAUCUGGAAACCGCCGGAGCACCAGAAACUGCAUGAAGCGGAACAGUGAUUGCCGCAGACAGACCAAGAAGAAGAUGGGGAUUCAGCGCCGACAUGAGACAGCUACGGGAGGUGGUCCGGCUCUCAAUCUGAAGUGGCUACCCUGGGAGAACGUUAUUAAAAGGCGCAUGAACCCUGUCAUGGUCCAAGGAGUUCGCGGAGGUGUGGACUCUAGCCGUCCUGCUGGCUUUCCCGAGGAGGAAGAACCGCCCAGAAGACGGAAGACGGCGGGAGACAAGCAGUCCAAAAGGAGGC